rnacentral:rRNA from 1 species
UACGGAGGAUGCAAGCGUUAUCCGGAAUGAUUGGGCGUAAAGCGUCCGCAGGUGGCUGUGUAAGUCUGCUGUCAAAGAGCAAAGCUCAACUUUGUAAAGGCAGUGGAAACUACACGGCUAGAGUGCGUUCGGGGCAGAGGGAAUUCCUGGUGUAGCAGUGAAAUGCGUAGAUAUCAGGAAGAACACCGGUGGCGAAAGCGCUCUGCUAGGCCGCAACUGACACUGAGGGACGAAAGCUAGGGGAGCGAAUGGG